GUGGGGAAUAUUGCGCAAUGGGCGAAAGCCUGACGCAGCCACGCCGCGUGAGUGAUGAAGGCCUUCGGGUUGUAAAGCUCUGUCGGGAGGGACGAAAGGAGCAAUCCUUGACGGUACCUCGCAAGAAAGCACCGGCUAACUCUGUGCCAGCAGCCGCGGUAAUACAGAGGGUGCAAGCGUUGCUCGGAUUUACUGGGCGUAAAGCGUACGCAGACGGUAAGAAAGGUCGGAUGUGAAAGCCCCGGGCUCAACCCGGGAACUGCAUCCGAAACCAUCUUGCUAGAGUAUGAGAGAGGGAAGCGGAAUUCCUGGUGUAGAGGUGAAAUUCGUAGAUAUCAGGAGGAACACCGGCGGCGAAGGCGGCUUCCUGGCUCAUUACUGACGUUCAGGUACGAAAGCGUGGGUAGCAAACAGGAUUAGAUACCCGUGUAGUCC
rnacentral:rRNA from 1 species